rnacentral:rRNA from 1 species
AAUCUGACCUCAAAUCAGGUAGGGCUACCCGCUGAACUUAAGCAUAUCAAUAAGCGGAGGAAAGGAAACUAACAAGGAUUCCCUUAGUAACGGCGAGUGAACCGGGAAGAGCUCAAAUUUGUAAUCUGGCGUGCUCUGUGCGUCCGAGUUGUAAUCUAUAGAAGUGUUUUCCGCGCCGGAUCGUGUCCAAGUUCCUUGGAAUAGGAUAUCAUAGAGGGUGACAAUCCCGUCCUUGACACGACUACCGGUGCUCUGUGAUACACUUUCUACGAGUCGAGUUGUUUGGGAAUGCAGCUCAAAAUGGGUGGUGAGUUCCAUCUAAAGCUAAAUAUUGGCGAGAGACCGACAGCGAACAAGUACCGUGAGGGAAAGAUGAAAAGCACUUGAAAGAGAGUAAACAGUA